rnacentral:rRNA from 1 species
UACGUAGGCAGCAAGCGUUGUUCGGAAUUACUGGGCGUAAAGAGUGUGUAGGCGGUGCUCUAAGUCUGUUGUGAAAUCUCCCGGCUUAACCGGGAGGGUGCGGCGGAAACUGGAGUGCUUGAGGGUGGGAGAGGUAAGCGGAAUUCCUGGUGUAGCGGUGAAAUGCGUAGAUAUCAGGAGGAACACCUGUGGUGUAGACAGCUUACUGGACCACUUCUGACGCUGAGACACGAAAGCGUGGGUAGUAAACAGG